GGUGUUUGCCUUGCUUAAAAGGCAACAUUUGGUGCCGGAAACCCGGGAGAAAGCGGGAUUCAAACCCAGAAAGCGAGGAUUACCUGGAAAACGGGAGUAGUGGUCAGGACCAGCUGGACUAGUCCUGGCGAGGGAGACAUCCCUGCAUCCAGAAGGAAGAUGGAAGCCCUGAUAAAGUGCCGGAAGGAGGCGGUGAACCACCAGACAACCUGAAGACACCCAAAACUGCUGAGCCUGUGAAACCCAAGCGACAACGACUUCUCUGUUAUCAUCCCCAGGGUCCUAUACCACUCUGGAGAAGAGGUGAACCAGUACCUUGAGCAAGCAGGCCGCCUUCAGAAAAGAGAGCUGCUGACAGGACUAUCAAUAGCAAUGCUGCUCGGCUUGGGAGCAACCAGUGCAGUCACUGGUGUCUCUGCUCUGGUAACCCAGAGUCAGAGUCUCUCUCAACUGCAGAUGACUCAGGUGAAAGAAGCAGCAUUUACAGAAGAAGAAAAAGGAAAAUCACUGAAGGAAAUCAAUUCAAAGCAGAAGUGA
rnacentral:lncRNA from 1 species